UCAACCUUUUUGUAUCAUUUUUACAAAUAUAAGCUUCCUAGUCGUGAAAGUUCAGUGGUUAUUGGAGAGUGUGAUCUGACAUCAACACUACACACGGAAAAAAUCGCUGGAAUUUUAUUUGCAUUUUAAGUCUGUAAAACUAAACCAGUCGCUUUUCUGGUAGCUGAAUAUGCAAACGAUCUGGAUUUUUGCAGCUGCUCUCAUCUUUAAUCAAAUCAUGUUCAUUGAAUGUUUUGUCGGAAAUUCAACAUCAAAGGUACAUACGGUGAAAUGCGGUCCACUUAGGUGUCCCGAUGGACAAAUGUGCUGCUCAGACGUCGGUAGUAGAAGUUAUGGUUGCUGUUUUCUAAAAGAUGGAAUCUGCUGUACAAAUCCUAUUGGGUGUUGUCCUAAAGGAUAUGUGUGUAAAGGGCGAUAUUGUCAUAAGCCUGGUAAUGUUAUGCAGCUGUUUGAAAAGCAACAAAAUGAAAUUGAGGUAAAGAAAUCAUUACAGAUCCCAUGAUAUCUGACGUAUGAAAAUACCAAAUCAAUGGAUGACGAACAAUGGAAAACAAAUUAAUCAGAUUAAAGUGUAGACAGCUGAAUUAGCAAGGAAUAGUGUAAUGUCUAUUGCCAAUGUGUAAUGGGUUAAUUGACUAAUUAAUUAAAAUUAAUUAAAGGA